rnacentral:rRNA from 1 species
GAUGAACGCUGGCGGCGUGCCUAAUACAUGCAAGUCGAGCGAACGGAUGAGUAGCUUGCUUCUCUGAUGUUAGCGGCGGACGGGAGAGUAACACGUGGUUAACCUACCUCUAAGACUGUGAUAACUUCGGGAAACCGGAGCUAAUACCGGAUAAUAUUUUGACCCGCAUGGUUCAAAAGUGAAAGACGGUCUUUCUGUCACUUAUAGAUUGAUCCGCGCUGCAUUAGCUAGUUGGUAAGGUAACGGCUUACCAAGGCAACGAUGCAUAGCCGACCUGAGAGGGAGAACGGCCACACUGGAAGUGAGACACGGUACAGACUCCUACGGGAGGAAGCAGUAGAGAAUCUUACGCAAUGGGCGAAAGCCUGACGGAGCAAAACCGCGUGAGUGAUGAAGGUCUUCGGAUGGGAAAACGAUGUUAUUAGGAAAGAACAAAAGUGUAAGUAACUGUGCACAUAUUGACGGUACCAAAACAAAAAGCCACGGCUAACUACGUG